UACGAAGGGGGCUAGCGUUGCUCGGAAUCACUGGGCGUAAAGCGCACGUAGGCGGCUUACUAAGUCAGGGGUGAAAUCCUGGAGCUCAACUCCAGAACUGCCUUUGAUACUGGUGAGCUUGAGUCCGAAAGAGGUGAGUGGAACUGCGAGUGUAGAGGUGAAAAUUCGUAGAUAUUCGCAAGAACACCAGUGGCGAAGGCGGCUCACUGGUCCGGUACUGACGCUGAGGUGCGAAAGCGUGGGGAGCAAACAGGG
rnacentral:rRNA from 1 species